rnacentral:rRNA from 1 species
CCUACGGGAGGCAGCAGUGGGGGAUAUUGCACAAUGGGGGAAACCCUGAUGCAGCGACGCCGCGUGGGUGAAGAAGUGCCUCGGCGCGUAAAGCCCUGUCAGCAGGGAAGAAAAUGACGGUACCUGAAGAAGAAGCCCCGGCUAACUACGUGCCAGCAGCCGCGGUAAUACGUAGGGGGCAAGCGUUAUCCGGAUUUACUGGGUGUAAAGGGGGCGCAGACGGCGAGGCAAGCCAGAAGUGAAAGCCCGGGGCCCAACCCCGGGACUGCUCUUGAAACUGCGUGGCUAGAGUGCAGGAGGGGUAGGCGGAAUUCCUGGUGUAGCGGUGAAAUGCGUAGAUAUCAGGAGGAACACCGGUGGCGAAGGCGGCUUGCUGGACUGUAACUGACGUUGAGGCUCGAAAGCGUGGGGAGCAAACAGGAUUAGAUACCCCAGUAGUC